rnacentral:rRNA from 1 species
GAUGAACGCUGGCGGCGUGCCUAAUACAUGCAAGUCGAGCGAACAGACGAGGAGCUUGCUCCUCUGACGUUAGCGGCGGACGGGUGAGUAACACGUGGAUAACCUACCUAUAAGACUGGGAUAACUUCGGGAAACCGGAGCUAAUACCGGAUAAUCUAUUGAACCGCAUGGUUCAAUAGUGAAAGACGGUUUUGCUGUCACUUAUAGAUGGAUCCGCGCCGCAUUAGCUAGUUGGUAAGGUAACGGCUUACCAAGGCAACGAUGCGUAGCCGACCUGAGAGGGGGAUCGGCCACACUGGAACUGAGACACGGUCCAGACGCCUACGGGAGGCAGCAGUAGGGAAUCUUCCGCAAUGGGCGAAAGCCUGACGGAGCAACGCCGCGUGAGUGAUGAAGGUCUUCGGAGCGUAAAACUCUGUUAUUAGGGAAGAACAAAUGUGUAAGUAACUAUGCACGUCUUGACGGUACCUAAUCAGAAAGCCACGGCUAACUACGUG